rnacentral:rRNA from 1 species
UACGUAGGGGGCGAGCGUUGUCCGAAGUUACUGGGCGUAAAGCGCGCGUAGGCGGCUCUUUAAGUGGCCGGUGAAAUCCCCGGGCUCAACUCGGGAGUGUCUGGUCAUACUGGGGAGCUAGAGUGUGGGAGAGGAGAGCGGAACUCCUGGUGUAGCGGUGAUAUGCGUAGAGAUCAGGAAGAACACCCGUGGCGAAGGCGGCUCUCUGGACCACAACUGACGCUGAGGCGCGAAAGCCAGGGGAGCGAACGGGAUUAGAUACCCCGGUAGUCCUGGCCCUAAACGAUGGAUACUAGGUGUGGGGGGUAUCGACCCCUCCCGCGCCGCAGCUAACGCAAUAAGUAUCCCGCCUGGGGAGUACGGCCGCAAGGUUGAA